rnacentral:rRNA from 1 species
CGCGUAGGCGGCUUGGUUAGUCAGGUGUGAAAUCCCAGGGCCUAACCCUGGAACUGCAUUUGAAACUGCCAAGCUAGAGUAUGGUAGAGGGUAGUGGAAUUCCCGGUGUAGAGGUGAAAUUCGUAGAUAUCGGGAGGAACACCGAUGGCGAAAGCAGCUACCUGGGCCAAUACUGACGCUCAGACGCGAGAGCGUGGGAGCAAACA